CCUCCCACCUGGCCCCCCCUCUCCCGUCCAGGCCCGCCCCCUCCCCGGCCUGGCCCCGCCCUCACAUCCAGGCCCAGCCCCCCUGCAGAACCUGAGCCCCCUGAGCUGGAGGGGGCACAUCGGCUCCGUCCCCAUCCUCCCCCCUCUCCUCCCCUGUCUUCCUUCAGACUCUUCAAAAAAUACUUAAUAUGAUUAACAUCCAGAUCGAAGCGCAAGUCUCAGGUCCGCAGCUGGAGGGGCCUUAACGAACCUUGCCCGUUCCUUCCUCUCCACCUUUUCUCUCCCCACUCCCCACCAGGACCCAGGCAACCGCUGAUCUGCUUUCCGUUACUACAGAUUAAGUUUUCGCUUUCUGGCGGUUCAUGGAUGUUCUUCCCCCACAAAGACCUGAGGCCAGGUCGCUGCCCAGAUAUACUACUUGGACACGAGGUUAGCCUGGGAAAGCUCUCCGCAUGGCAGGAGCUGGUGUGUGGAUCUGUUUUCGACGCGACAGGCUGACCUGUCUGUGGUCCUAGCUGCGCCCGGAUUGCCUUGAUGACGGCCUGGGCUCACCCCACUUCCCGAGCGGAUGCGGUCCUUCCUCCUUGGGUCCAGACUGCUCUUCUGAUUCCUGAGGGCAUGGCUCAGCCUCGCUUAGUACCCGCUUGCUAAGGGCCUGCCCUGCGUCACUCUAUCUUUGGUACCAACAGUCGGCUCGCUACCAUGGGAUUUUUUUUUUCUUCCCCUCCUUUCCUUCAACUUGAAGAAAACCCCCUCCUGCUCAUUUUCCCUGCUGUCCUGCCCGUGUAAAUCCCUGUAAGGCUGGACAGAAUUCUCUCUCCCCUGUAACUUGGGAAAGGCAGGUGAACUGGUGUGUGGCAGGAUCUGGGAUCGCCAGAGGACACAAAAUACUCCUCGUAGAGGUGUCCCGGUAGCAGGUUUACGGUAGGUCAUCACCAGGAUCCUGUCACCCUGUCCACGUACGCGUGCACACGUGCGCAUAAACACGUCCAAAUAGCGAGAACUGUAACGCGCUCUAUAGUUGUUGUCUUAUUAUCAGGGAUGCUUUUGGUCCUCUCUUCACUUUGAUUGUCUUGAGCACGUCAGCGAGGUGGAAACAGAAGUGCAAGGACCUUGGGGCCACGUUUCCUCUGGCGGAGGGCCUGUGACCGCGGCCCAACCCUGUGACCUGCGGCCCAACCCUGUGACCGCGGCCCAACCCUCACCGAGCGCAGGCCCUGCCUGGUAUUUUUCUUUCAUUAGGGACCAUUGACUUUCUGGAGGGAGGAGUGAUGUUUACCGCACACCUGGCGCAUGUCAGGGACCCUGAUAGCCGCUUUGGCUUCUAAAGAGCAGCUUCAAAGUCCUUGGGCUCCUUGUUUUCUCUGAAAAUGGUGCCUUUCUGGGUGGUUCUGAGGAAUCAGUGAAGCAAGCGUGGCACCGGGACUGGCGUUGCCGGCAGCCCGUGGCUGAUUCAUCCACCAGCGGCUCUGGGCUCACCUGGUGACAAGCAGGGAGGGUGACCUCGCAGGAUCGCUGCCCUCCCUGGAGCAGGUCCAGUCCUAACUCGGUGCCCGGGGGUCGAAGACCGCGACAGCAGGAGGCCCAGGUUAUCCUGCCCUCGCCCGGGGGAGGGGUGGGGGCUGCCCCCGAGGCUCCUGAGUGCCUGGGAAGGGCUGAGUGCCCCGCUGGGCACUGGACGGCCUGUCGCUGGAGGCCGCAGUGGGGCCCGGCAGGCCCGGCUCCGAGUGACACUGUGCCCUCCGCACUGGCGGCGGGGACCCGGGAGGUGCUGGCCCUGCCCUGAGCACCCAGAGGUGCG
rnacentral:lncRNA from 1 species